CCUACGGGUGGCAGCAGUAGGGAAUAUUGGUCAAUGGGCGGAAGCCUGAACCAGCCAUGCCGCGUGAUGGAUGACGGCCUUAGGGUUGUAAACAUCUUUUCUGCUAGAGGAAUAGAGUUCACGCGUGGACAGACGACUGUAUAGCAGGAAUAAGGAUCGGCUAACUCCGUGCCAGCAGCCGCGGUAAUACGGAGGAUUCGAGCGUUAUCCGGAUUUACUGGGUUUAAAGGGUGCGCAGGCGGGCUCUUAAGUCAGCGGUGAAAUGUCUGGGCUUACCCGAGGAAUUGCCGUUGAUACUGGGAGUCGUGGAUAAGCAUAAGGACGGCGGAAUGCGUAGUGUAGCGGUGAAAUGCUUAGAUAUUACGUAGAAGACCAAUUGCGAAGGCAGCUGUCUGGGUCUUUAUCGACGCUCAAGCACGAAAGCGUGGGGAGCAAACAGGAUUAGAUACCCCAGUAGUC
rnacentral:rRNA from 1 species